CAGAGAUGGCAGCAAAACUCCCACCACUACCCCAAGGAGGACUUCCUCAAAGGCCGAGGAUGACCUCUUUGAUACUCUCCUGCCAGCAUCCAUGAAGUCUCGCUACUCUUCCCCUGACAGCACUACAACCGUCACCAAGAAAGAAGUUGUCACUUUGGACAGCCCCAAAGGAGAUGAUAAAACUGUGACCUCCGACCUCUACAACUAGGACCAUCACCAACUGCAGCUCCUACUGUAGCAGUGACAACGUUCCAUCUACCAAGUCCUCAUCCUACUCCAUCAGUUCCAAGCCAAGUCCCUCAAGGACUGUGUUGGAGAGAGACCUGUGCUCCUACUGCCGUAAGCCCAUGAGCUACGACCCCAAGAUGGUGCUGGAGGAUAUGAAGAUCUGCCACAGUACCUGCUUCAAGUGUGAGGUGUGUAGCAGUCCCCGGGGCCAUCUCAAGGCAGGGGACAGUAUGUGGGUUUGCAGAGUUCCACUGUGAGCGCUGCUUUGAAGUCACCAGAGAAAAAUGGCAUUGCUGAAUAUCCAAAGUUAAUGCGGAUGAAGAUGGGGUCUUUAUUCUAUAACUGUUUAAACAGAUUUAAGUUUAUGAAUUACAUUUUGGUGACAUGGGUCCUCCUUAUAUAAAUAGGGAAACGUAUAGAGGUUGAAAAAGAGCAUGUUUCAGAGUUCAUACCUUUCUUCUAAAAUGGGAGUGGAUGUUAAUCUUCAACAUAAAAACUACACUGACAAUUCAUGUUUUCAUAAAUUAAUAUACUAUAUGGGAUAUGUGAACAUUUGUAAGCAAUUAACAGAAAAAACACAUUUGCAUUGUUGUUGUUUUUUCUAUGUUGUUUUUACUUGACUAGCCUAUAAUACAUUGACUCUGAAUCACAAUAUCUCAAACAUCCACAGUAAAAUGCAUAUAGGCCAACAAAUAUUUUUCUGACCUGUCUCAGCCAGCAAUUUAUUUUACAUAAUCAACCUAUUUCUCACAAGCAUUCAGGCUACCAAAGUAGGCCUACUGUAAAAUACCCAUAUGGUGUAAGAAUUAGGGCUGGGGGCUGGUUGUGUGUGUAAUACAAAAAUAUAAAUAAUUAUUUGGUGUUUGGUGUUUUCUUUCAAGUAUUUGUAGGCUAUGCAUUGUGUGUGUGACAAAUACAUUAAAUGUGAAUCAAAAUUAUUUGUAA